rnacentral:rRNA from 1 species
CAUUCAUGCUAAUACCAUGGAUGAUUGACGUUACCCACAGAAUAAGCACCGGCUAACUCCGUGCCAGCAGCCGCGGUAAUACGGAGGGUGCAAGCGUUAAUCGGAAUUACUGGGCGUAAAGCGCACGUAGGCGGUUUGACAAGUGGGAUGUGAAAAGCCCUGGGGCUCAACCUGGGAACUGCAUCCCAAACUGUCAGGCUAGAGUAUGGUAGAGGGGGGCGGAAUUCCCGGUGUAGCGGUGAAAUGCGUAGAGAUCGGGAGGAACAUCAGUGGCGAAGGCGGCCCCCUGGACUGAUACUGACGCUGAGGUGCGAAAGCGUGGGGAUCAAACAGGAUUAGAUACCCUGGUAGUCCACGCUGUAAACGAUGAGAACUGGCCGUCGGGCCCUUCGGGGUUUGGUGGCGUAGCUAACGCGCUAAGUUCUCCGCCUGGGGAGUACGGCCGCAAGGCUAAAACUCAAAUGAAUUGACGGGGGC